GCGGUAACAGGUGUAGCAAUACAUGCUGACGAGCGGCGGACGGGUGAGUAACGCUUGGGAAUCUGCCUAUUAGUGGGGGACAACCCGGGGAAACUCGGGCUAAUACCGCAUACGCUCUACGGAGGAAAGCCGGGGACCGCAAGGCCUGGCGCUAAUAGAUGAGCCCAAGUCGGAUUAGCUAGUUGGUAGGGUAACGGCCUACCAAGGCUACGAUCCGUAACUGGUCUGAGAGGACGACCAGUCACACCGGAACUGAGACACGGUCCGGACUCCUACGGGAGGCAGCAGUGGGGAAUAUUGGACAAUGGGGGAAACCCUGAU
rnacentral:rRNA from 1 species